rnacentral:rRNA from 1 species
CGUGUAGGCGGCCAGAAAAGUCCGCUGUGAAAACUCGAGGCUCAACUUCGAGCUGUCGGUGGAAACUUUCUGGCUAGAGUCCGGAAGAGGAGAAUGGAAUUCCUGGUGUAGCGGUGAAAUGCGCAGAUAUCAGGAAGAACACCCGUGGCGAAGGCGGUUCUCUGGGACGGUACUGACGCUGAGACGCGAAAGCGUGGGAGCGAACA